GCGCGAAACCUUUACUAAUGCACGAAAGUAGUGAUAAGGCGAACUCCCUCGUGCUUAUCCAAAAGAAUAGGCUUUUUAGUUAUGUAAUGUAUACUAAGAAUAAGUAGAUGGGCGAAGACCGGUGCCAGCAGCGCGGUAAUACCGGCGUCACAAGUGGAGAUCACGAUUACUGGGUCUAAAGUGUUCGUAGCUGGUCAUAUAAGUCUCUUGUGAAAGUUCUGUAGCUUAACUCAGAAUUGCAAGAGAUACUGUAUGACUUGAGACCGGAAGA
rnacentral:rRNA from 1 species